UACGUAGGGUGCGAGCGUUAAUCGGAAUUACUGGGCGUAAAGCGUGCGCAGGCGGUUUUGUAAGACAGGCGUGAAAUCCCCGGGCUCAACCUGGGAAUGGCGCUUGUGACUGCAAGCUGGAGUGCGGCAGAGGGGAUGGAAUUCCGCGUGUAGUAGUGAAAUGCGUAGAUAUGCGGAGGAACACCGAUGGCGAAGGCAAUCCCCUGGGCCUGCACUGACGCUCAUGCACGAAAGCGUGGGGAGCAAACAGG
rnacentral:rRNA from 1 species